AUUGAACGCUGGCGGCAGGCCUAACACAUGCAAGUCGAACGGUAACAGGAAGCAGCUUGCUGCUUUGCUGACGAGUGGCGGACGGGUGAGUAAUGUCUGGGAAACUGCCUGAUGGAGGGGGAUAACUACUGGAAACGGUAGCUAAUACCGCAUAACGUCGCAAGACCAAAGAGGGGGACCUUAGGGCCUCUUGCCAUCUGAUGUGCCCAGAUGGGAUUAGCUAGUAGGUGGGGUAACGGCUCACCUAGGCGACGAUCCCUAGCUGGUCUGAGAGGAUGACCAGCCACACUGGAACUGAGACACGGUCCAGACUCCUACGGGAGGCAGCAGUGGGGAAUAUUGCACAAUGGGCGCAAGCCUGAUGCAGCCAUGCCGCGUGUAUGAAGAAGGCCUUCGGGUUGUAAAGUACUUUCAGCGGGGAGGAAGGGAGUAAAGUUAAUACCUUUGCUCAUUGACGUUACCCGCAGAAGAAGCACCGGCUAACUCCGUG
rnacentral:rRNA from 1 species